rnacentral:rRNA from 1 species
UACGAAGGGGGCUAGCGUUGCUCGGAAUUACUGGGCGUAAAGGGUGCGUAGGCGGCCGUGCAAGUCUGGCGUGAAAGCCCCGGGCUCAGCCCGGGAAGUGCGCUCGAAACUGCGCGGCUCGAGUGCCGGAGGGGAGAGUGGAAUUCCUGGUGUAGCGGUGAAAUGCGUAGAUAUCAGGAGGAAUACCGGUGGCGAAAGCGACUCUCUGGACGGCAACUGACGCUGAGGCGCGAAAGCGUGGGGAGCAAACAGG